rnacentral:rRNA from 1 species
GAUGAACGCUGGCGGCGUGCCUAAUACAUGCAAGUCGAGCGAACGGACGAGAAGCUUGCUUCUCUGAUGUUAGCGGCGGACGGGUGAGUAACACGUGGAUAACCUACCUAUACGACUGGGAUACCUUCGGGAAACCGUAGCUAAUACCGGAUAAUAUUUUGACCCGCAUGGUUCAAAAGUGAAAGACGGUCUUGCUGUCACUUAUAGAUGGAUCCGCGCUGCAUUAGCUAGUUGGUAAGGUAACGGCUUACCAAGGCAACGAUGCAUAGCCGACCUGAGAGGGUGAUCGGCCACACUGGAACUGAGACACGGUCCAGACUCCUACGGGAGGCAGCAGUAGGGAAUCUUCCGCAAUGGGCGAAAGCCUGACGGAGCAACGCCGCGUGAGUGAUGAAGGUCUUCGGAUCGUAAAACUCUGUUAUUAGGGAAGAACAUAUGUGUAAGUAACUGGGCACAUCUUGACGGUACCUAAUCAGAAAGCCACGGCUAACUACGUG